UGGGGUUUUGGCUCAGUGGUAGAGCGCUUGCCGAGCAUGCAUGAGGCACUGGGUUCGAUCCUCAGCACCACAU
rnacentral:tRNA from 1 species